rnacentral:rRNA from 1 species
UGGGGAAUUUUGGACAAUGGGCGAAAGCCUGAUCCAGCAAUGCCGCGUGUGUGAAGAAGGCCUUCGGGUUGUAAAGCACUUUUGUCCGGAAAGAAAUCCUUGGCUCUAAUACAGUCGGGGGAUGACGGUACCGGAAGAAUAAGCACCGGCUAACUACGUGCCAGCAGCCGCGGUAAUACGUAGGGUGCAAGCGUUAAUCGGAAUUACUGGGCGUAAAGCGUGCGCAGGCGGUUUGCUAAGACCGAUGUGAAAUCCCCGGGCUCAACCUGGGAACUGCAUUGGUGACUGGCAGGCUAGAGUAUGGCAGAGGGGGGUAGAAUUCCACGUGUAGCAGUGAAAUGCGUAGAGAUGUGGAGGAAUACGAUGGCGAAGGCAGCCCCCUGGGCCAAUACUGACGCUCAUGCACGAAAGCGUGGGGAGCAAGACAGGAUUAGAUACCCUGGGUAGUCCACGCCCUAAACGAUGUCACGCGUUGUUGGGGAUUCAUUUCCUUAGUAACGUAGCUAACGCGUGAAGUUGACCGCCUGGGGAGUACGGUCGCAAGAUUAAAACUUAAA